rnacentral:rRNA from 1 species
AUUGAACGCUGGCGGCAGGCCUAACACAUGCAAGUCGAGCGGAUGAAGGGAGCUUACUCCUGGAUUCAGCGGCGGACGGGUGAGUAAUGCCUAGGAAUCUGCCUGGUAGUGGGGGAUAACGUCCGGAAACGGGCGCUAAUACCGCAUACGUCCUGAGGGAGAAAGUGGGGGAUCUUCGGACCUCACGCUAUCAGAUGAGCCUAGGUCGGAUUAGCUAGUUGGUGGGGUAAAGGCCUACCAAGGCGACGAUCCGUAACUGGUCUGAGAGGAUGAUCAGUCACACUGGAACUGAGACACGGUCCAGACUCCUACGGGAGGCAGCAGUGGGGAAUAUUGGACAAUGGGCGAAAGCCUGAUCCAGCCAUGCCGCGUGUGUGAAGAAGGUCUUCGGAUUGUAAAGCACUUUAAGUUGGGAGGAAGGGUAGUAAGUUAAUACCUUGCUGUUUUGACGUUACCAACAGAAUAAGCACCGGCUAACUUCGUG